UACGUAGGGGGCUAGCGUUGUCCGGAAUCAUUGGGCGUAAAGCGCGUGUAGGCGGUUCGGUAAGUCCGCUGUGAAAGUCGGGGGCUCAACCCUCGGAAGCCGGUGGAUACUGUCGGGCUAGAGUACGGAAGAGGCGAGUGGAAUUCCUGGUGUAGCGGUGAAAUGCGCAGAUAUCAGGAGGAACACCAAUUGCGAAGGCAGCUCGCUGGGACGUUACUGACGCUGAGGUGCGAAAGCGUGGGGAGCAAACAGG
rnacentral:rRNA from 1 species